rnacentral:rRNA from 1 species
UGGGGAAUUUUGGACAAUGGGGGCAACCCUGAUCCAGCCAUGCCGCGUGUGUGAAGAAGGCCUUCGGGUUGUAAAGCACUUUCGGCCGGAACGAAAUCGCGCACGUGAAUACCGUGCGUGGAUGACGGUACCGGAAGAAGAAGCACCGGCUAACUACGUGCCAGCAGCCGCGGUAAUACGUAGGGUGCAAGCGUUAAUCGGAAUUACUGGGCGUAAAGCGUGCGCAGGCGGCUUCGCAAGUCAGGCGUGAAAUCCCCGAGCUCAACUUGGGAAUGGCGCUUGAAACUGCGAGGCUAGAGUGUGGCAGAGGGAGGUAGAAUUCCACGUGUAGCAGUGAAAUGCGUAGAUAUGUGGAGGAAUACCGAUGGCGAAGGCAGCCUCCUGGGCCAACACUGACGCUCAUGCACGAAAGCGUGGGGAGCAAACAGG